rnacentral:rRNA from 1 species
AGAAUCAACGCUGGCGGCGUGCCUAACACAUGCAAGUCGAACGAGAAAGUGGAGCAAUCCAUGAGUAAAGUGGCGACCGGGUGAGUAACACGUGACUAACCUACCUUCGAGUGGGGGAUAACCUCGGGAAACCGGGGCUAAUACCGCAUAACAUCUUUGGAGUGGAAAUUCUGGAGAUCAAAGGAGCAAUUCGCUGGAAGAGGGGGUCGCGGCUGAUUAGCUAGUUGGCGGGUAACGGCCACCAAGGCAAAGAUCGGUA